GAUGGAGAAAGGCAGAAAGCAGAGGAAUUCACUCCAGCACACACUCAAAGAUAAUGACAACAUGAAAAUAACAGUAGCUGAUGUCAUGAAAAGUUGGAGGGUGGUUGGUAAUGGAGGACAUCAGGUGGAUCCAUGUCUGGGUGUUAGGCUGAACCCUUAGGUCCUGGAGACCAGGAGCAGAGUAAAGGGAACCGGGUUGGAGACAGACGUAAACAAGAAAACACACAGGUUAAAGGAUUAUCAGAGUUCACAACCUCGGUCACUCAAGAUGACCUCAGGAGAACUAUGGGCGUUGAAGAUGUCCAUCAUCGCCUUGGAGGUGGCCUCGCCAGUCUGGUCCUUGAUGGACCUUAAUGGGUAUUGCCUCCACCCACUUGGUAAAAUAAUCGGUCGCCUUCAGGCUAGACAGCUGUCCAUAUCCUUGACAAUCCCAUGCCAAAAGAAGUGUAUGUUGAUUUUGGCAAUCAUGCGCUUCACUCCGAAAUGGCCAACAUGCAUCUCGGUAUGGUCAGCAUGGUCUCCUUCUCCUCAGUGAAAAUCACCCUCCUGUGUUGCUGACAAUCCUUCCCCCUACUUCGCCUGGUUGGAAAGAUAAAAUAACAUCUCCUCAAGUGGAAGGAUGAGACGGUGAUAAUACUCCUGACUGGCUGGCGUUCCCAUGGAAGACCUGGGGUCAUUGACGCCAGGAGAGGUGUGAAGACAGAUUAAAUGAAUAUUAAUGUGAAUAAAAUUGUCAUGUUUGGAUUGUUCAA